rnacentral:rRNA from 1 species
GAAUUCGCCCUUAGAGUUUUUUCCUGGCUCAGGACGAACGCUGGCGGCGCGCCUAACACAUGCAAGUCGAACGGAGCUUAGAGAGCUUGCUUUUUAAGCUUAGUGGCGAACGGGUGAGUAACGCGUGAGUAACCUGCCCUAGAGUGGGGGACAACAGUUGGAAACGACUGCUAAUACCGCAUAAGCCCACGGUGCCGCAUGACACUGAGGGAAAAGGAUUUAUUCGCUUUAGGAUGGACUCGCGUCCAAUUAGCUAGUUGGUGAGGUAACGGCCCACCAAGGCGACGAUUGGUAGCCGGACUGAGAGGUUGAACGGCCACAUUGGGACUGAGACACGGCCCAGACUCCUACGGGAGGCAGCAGUGGGGGAUAUUGCACAAUGGGGGAAACCCUGAUGCAGCGACGCCGCGUGGAGGAAGAAGGUUUUCGGAUUGUAAACUCCUGUCGUUAGGGACGAUAAUGACGGUACCUAACAAGAAAGCACCGGCUAACUACGUGCCAGCAGCCGCGGUAAAACGUAGGGUGCAAGCGUUGUCCGGAAUUACUGGGUGUAAAGGGAGCGCAGGCGGGAAGACAAGUUGGAAGUGAAAACCAUGGGCUCAACCCAUGAAUUGCUUUCAAAACUGUUUUUCUUGAGUAGUGCAGAGGUAGAUGGAAUUCCCGGUGUAGCGGUGGAAUGCGUAGAUAUCGGGAGGAACACCAGUGGCGAAGGCGGUCUACUGGGCACCAACUGACGCUGAGGCUCGAAAGCAUGGGUAGCAAACAGGAUUAGAUACCCUGGUAGUCCAUGCCGUAAACGAUGAUU